rnacentral:lncRNA from 1 species
UGCCUAAAAUAUAAUGUCUUCAAAUCUCACAGAGUUUAUAUAUUUUUACAGCAUCCAAUCAAAUAUUUCCACAUUAUAUAAUGAGUAGGGUCACUACACUCUUAUGAGUAUAGAGUCCUUCGUACUCAUAAGUUGUUUUCGAUGAUGGAGCUUCUGAAUCGACAAUCCACUUCGUUAAAUAUGAUCUAUAGUAUUUGAAAUUUCUAGAAAAAUAAAUUUCGUAAUUUUUCGAAAUCAUAAUAAAAUCUAUCAAUCGGGUAUAAAAUAAACAAUCAAAAUCGAGCGACGUCCUAAAAAUCGGAGUUAUUGAUCUUUAUUUAGGCAGUGAAUAAAAUUUUCUAUCAAAAAUUUAACUUAUGUUGAAAAAUUAUUAAAUUUGAUUAAUAAAAAUUUUAAAUGUUUUAGAUAAUGUUUAACGAUAUAGAUCGUCGAUUCGGAAUCGCUAUCAUCGUACGUACUCAUAAGAGUAUAAUAGCCGAACUCUUAUAU